rnacentral:tRNA from 1 species
GGGGCUGUAGCUCAUUUGGAUAGAGUGUCUGGCUACGAACUAGAAGGUAGCAGGUUCGAAUCCUGCCAGCCCCACCA